AGCUCCAAUAGCGUAUAUUAAAGUUGUUGCGGUAAAAAAGCUCGUAGUUGGAUUUCUGUUGAGAGCGACCGGUCCAUACCAUGUAUGCGUAUCUGGCUUGCUCUCGGCAUCCUCUCGAUAGACGUUGCUGCGCUUGAUUGCGUGGCGCGGAUCUCGGGACUUUUACUUUGAGGAAAUUAGAGUGUUCACGGCAGGCUUUCGCCAGAAUACAUUAGCAUGGAAUAAUACUAUAGGAUCUUGGUUCUAUUUUGUUGGUUUCUAGAAUUGAGAUAAUGAUUAAUAGGGACAAUUGGGGGCAUUCGUAUCAACACGUCAGAGGUGGAAUUCUUGGAUUGUGUUGCGACGAACUACUGCGAAAGCAUUUGCCAAGGAUGUUUUCA
rnacentral:rRNA from 1 species